rnacentral:lncRNA from 1 species
CUGCGUCAAAAACUAAAUCACAAGCUUCUGAUAAAAAACGAGCAGUUCUAGUAAGAUUUGUAAUAUGAAUACCCUUACGCUUUGCAGAGAUAUAAGGCGCCAUUUUAGGAUUCCAUUUCCUAGUACCAUGACCAAAAUGAACUCCUGCCUCCAUCAUCUCUUCCAAAUUUAUGUUCCAAUAUCUUCUUGUCAUUUCUCCCCACAACCUCCCCCCCUUUUUUUAUUCUUUUUCAAAAAAAAAAAGAGACGAGGAACCCUGAACUGAAAUAAAUAAUUGUUCCGAUGGAACCUUCUCUUCUACUGUAGAUUGGACGUAGAUACACGACCCAAACCAUUAUUCUUUUCUAUUCAUUAUUCUUUUUAUUACCAAAGCAAAUAACCAUACCAAAUGCAGAUAGCGAAAGAGACGAAUCCGUUGUUAGGAAUCAUUAAAUCCUAUAAAUGAUUGUUCGGGUAUGUCGUGGAAUUUUUUUGAAAGACAAGAAUCAAAUAAUUUUCUGUGGUGGAACAAAAUAUCUCUCAUCUCCCCCUCGAAUAGAUUUGUUUUUUUUGUUUCCAAAGGAAUGUUGUUAUGUUGUUUUGAAGGGUGCACUAAUCCCUUGAAUCCGGUACCAACGGGUAUCACCCCCCCCAAAACAACGUUCUCUUUCAGGCCUUUCAACCAAUCGAUACGACCCCGGAGAGCCGCUUUUGCUAAAACUCGAGCAGUUUCUUGAAAACUUGCUUCAGAUAUGAAACUUUGAGUAUUGAGAGAUGCUCUUGUUAUUCCCAAUAAGACGACUCGGUAACAGAUCGCUUCUUCCAAAGCGCGCCCCAUUCGUUCUGCUCGCAACAAUCCAAUAAGUUCUCCGGGUGAAAAAACAUUAGACAUUCCAUCUUCUGAAAUCAACACUUUUGAUGUUAUUUGACGUACAAUAAUUUCUAUAUGCCUAUUAUGAAUCUGCACCCCCUGGGAGCGAUAAACCUGUUGGAUUUUAUUAACCAAAGAGAUUCGGCUUUGCGCUAUAGUUAGCUCAGCACCAAUCAAGAAUCCCCAAGGAAUUCCAAGAAUUCUUGGUAUACAUUUGUUCCAACCCUCAACCCUCUUUUCUAGAUUCAUGGAUAUUGAAUCAAUCGAACGCACUUCUAAGACCUGUUCUACUUUUGGAAGACCCUGUGUUAUAUCACCAGAUCUCGAUUUUUCAUAUAUAAAUGUAACUAAUGUAUCUCCUUCGUAAAGGGUUUCCCCAUAAUGGCCAUGAACAGUUGCUCCGGGGGUGGCCAAAUAAGGCUUAGCUGAUCGUAUCACUAUCGAGUCAACUUGAACAAGUAUAACUUGACCCGAUUUGAGGGGCGGUCCAUUUUUGGCUAUACAUACAUUUUCACAAAUAAACUGUCCAAGACUAAUUAUUUUAGAUGUCUCUGCACAAUAAUAGUGAUGGAGAAAAGACCAAUUCAAAUUGAAUGGAUUUAAAAUAAUGUUACGGCAUGGAUCGGGAUUAAAAAUUUUUCCAUUUUCAUCCAUUAAAUAAUAUUUUAAUUUAAUCACUUGAAAAGUCUGUUUUAAAUUGUCAAGUUGCAAAUAUUUAGUUACUAAGAUCUGAUUAUGAGUUAUUAAAUGGUAAGAUGAAUAAAAAUUCUCAAUUGGAAGGCAUGUUCCUAAAGGGCCCAAUGAAUUCCUAAUUGGAAUUAGGGGAUCUUUUUUAAUUGAUUCUUUUAUCACACUGUGAUAUUUUACAUCUUUGAAUGGCUCCAUUCGAGAACAAUUGGCUGCUGACAAAAUUAUCAACGACUGACAUUCCUUAUUUCUAUUCAACAACGUAUGAAUAGUUCCUUGAGGUUGGUUAAGAGAUUGUUGAAUUUUUGCCUUGGAAUAGGAAUAAAUAGCAGAAAAGGGAUUGAUAUUGGUACAAUCCGAUCCAUUAUCAGAGAGCAAUCCUGACCCCGACGGAUCAUUCCUUUUUCCGAUAUACGAAAUAGGGGAUUUCACUAAGUUGAUUUUUAGGAAAUGUCGAAUCAAACCAUUUGUCCUUAUUUCAACAAAAGAAGCACGGGCUUCUUCGCAAGAAGAACUUUUUUUGUCUUGGUUCCAAUUCAAUACUAAACAAGUCCGAACUAAUUGAAUACUUGUGUCAGAAAUUCCUCGAAUCGGUUUGCCAUUUCCAUAAAGGAUAUAAUUGACAAUUCGAAGUUGCACAUUAUCCCUUUCCUGCAAUGGAUCCGGUGGAAAAAGGGUUCCUAAAUUUAUACCGUCCGUUAUUUCAUAUGUGACGACAGGUCGAACUAAAACAAAAAACCUUUUCUUACUAGGUGUAAUUCGUUGGACAUAGAUCCAAUUUUGAACUUUUUUGUAUUCCUUGGAAUUUCUUUUUCCUGUUCCUGGUGGUAUCAAAACGCCGGUAUGCCUGGAUAUCUUAUCCGUCUCUCCAGGAAAAUGGAUAUCUCCAGAAAAGAUUUUCAGUUCAAUUCGUUUUUUUUUUCUCUCCACCCGGACCAACCCACCGACUCGGCUUCUUAGAUUUAAGGUGAUUUGUGUAUCGACCCCAACGAUACUAUUGUUCCGUACCAUUAGGGAAGAAGAUCCGGGCAAGAUAUGCACCUCUUCAGGAAUGAAAAAAAAUCGAUCUACUUUCAUUUGGUAUUUUGGCCUAAAUUCCUUGACUCCUCGAUACUCAAUCAAAUCCUCUUUUUUGAUGACUGAAUGCGUUUCUAUAGUCCCAUAUUUAAUAAUGCCCGAACUCUUUCUUCUGUAUCGAGGAUCAUCGAAAUAAGCAAGAAUACUAUUUCGACGGAAAAUACCAUUUACGGGGAUUUCAAUCGAGAUACCUGAACAGGGCAUUAGUUCAUUCUCGAGUUCUUGAAUCGAGUGUAGUGGAAUGAUGAAUUUAUUUCUUCGCCUUUUUGACAAUAAAGCAGAAUUCCCGUGAAGAAUAGGCGAAUAUACGAGAUUAUACUGGCCAGUACAUAUGAUUCGAUUAAGGUCUGAAUAAUCAGGAAUCCUAUCUUCUUUUUGACCAUAAAAAUCCGAACUAAACAAUUUCUGCCUCGCCUGAUCAUUGGUUACUGAGAGGUUAGAAGUAUAUCUUCGCUUGCCAGAAAGAGAAUGCGCAUUCAUUUGAUCCUGAUCCUUGUGGAUCGAAAGGUAGACUAGACUGGACCUGCACGGCCCUCCUAAUAAUAUCCAUAAAUGACUUGUUUUUGGUAAUAGAUGAACAUUACCAUAUGUAAAUUCGGGUGCAUGAUAGACAUCGGUACUCCAGUGCAUUUCUCCGUCUGAAUCAGAAUAAAUAUGUUUUCGAACCUUCUCUUUAAAAUUCAAAGUGGAUAUUCCUGCGCGAAUCUCAGCAAUUACUUGUUCUGAUUCUACGUAUUGAUCGUUUUGAACUAAAAGCAAACUUUUGGGUGGAAUAUUCACAUUAUGUAGAAUAUCUUCACUCUCAAUAGUUACAUACAAGUCUAUAGAACAUAGAAAGGCGGGAUGCCCAUGACGUGUACGUGUCGGAUGAACCAAGUCCUCAUUGAAUUUUAUUUUUCCAUUAGAUGGGGCUCGCACAUGUUCUGCAGUACCCCCCGUGAAUACUCCUCCGGUAUGAAAAGUUCGUAAUGUUAAUUGAGUACCCGGUUCUCCAAUCGAUUGACCUGCAAUAAUACCUACAGCUUCCCCCAAUUCAACCAGGUCGCCAUGAGUAGGACUACGCCCAUAACAUAAUCGACAAAUCCAAGAUGUACUCCUACAAGUAAAGGGAGUUCGAAUAGAGAUUGGUUGUGCCCGAAAGGUUAUGAAUCGAUUUACAAGUCCAAUGCCAAUGGCUUGGUUUCUAGUGGCAAUACAUCGUGAACCCAUGUAUAUAUCAUCUGCUAAUACACGGCCAAUUAAUGUUUGACUAAAAAUCCUUUCCGGCAUUAUCCCAUUCCGAGGACUCACAGAAAUACCCCGGGCGGUGCCACAAUCCGUUCGACGUACAACAAUGUGUUGAACUACUUCAACAAGUCUGCGAGUGAGAUAUCCAGCGUCUGAUGUUCGUACAGCAGUAUCCACAACUCCUUUACGGGCUCCGUAGCAAGAAAUGAUGUAUUCUGUUAAAGAGAGUCCUUCGCGUAAAUUGCUUUGAAUAGGUAAAUCAAUCAUUUGUCCUUGAGGAUCCGACAUUAAUCCUCUCAUACCUACUAAUUGAUGUACCUGAGAUGCAUUUCCUCGAGCUCCCGAGAAAGACAUUAUAUGAACUGGAUUAAAAGGGUCAGUCAUCCUAAAAUUCGGAUUCAUUUCUUGGCGCAAAUAUUCACUUGUAGCAUACCAUAUUUCAAUGGAUUGACGUAAUUUUUCUACCGCGUGUACAUUUCCAUACUGAUGGUGUUUUUCCAAAAUCAAACUUUGUUGUUCAGCAUCUUGAACUAGCCAUCCCUUAGAAGGUAUUGUUAAAAGAUCAUCAAUUCCUAAUGAAAUGGAUGUAGCAGUAGCUUGUUGGAACCCCAGAGUUUUUACUUGAUCCAGGAUAUGUGAUGUAUAUGCCAUUCCGAAGUGCUCUAUUAAUCUACUAAUAAGUCGUUUCAUGGCAGUUCCGUCUAUCGCUUUAUUGUGAAAGACCAGAUUGGCCCGUUCUGCCAUAAGUACCUCCAUAUUCCGCUGAGUAGGAUUCGACAAUGGGUUUGAGUCGGUGAUUGUAAAACUUCCUUUUAUCGAUCUUGAUUCGCGUAUAAAUUCCGGAACUAUGGACCUAGCUGAACCGGAGAGCCCCGAAGUCCCACGGUAUCAUAGAAUUAGGUAGCAUAUGAAUAGGCCCGAGAAAACCCCUGUAUAGCUUCUUCGAUUUCUCGAUAAAGAGCAAUAUGACCAACAGUGGUUCGAAUGUAUAUAAAAAGUAUUUUUUUUUUUAGACUUCUUACUAUUAGAUAGUGUCCAUAAAUCUCAUAAAAAGUACCUAAAGAUUCAUAGUGAACUUCGAUGGGAGUUUCUCUUGAAGCAAUAACGCGUUGAUCUAGUCGCCACCGGAGCCACAAAGGACUAUCUAAAUUGAUUCGUU